rnacentral:snRNA from 1 species
AUCACUUCUCGGCCUUUUGGCUAAGAUCAAGUGUAAAUUCUGUUACUAUGUUAUUAACCCAGUAUUGACAUGUUUUGUCUUUUUUAAAAAGAUUUUAUUUAUU